GUUUGAUCCUGGCUCAGAUUGAACGCUGGCGGCAUGCUUUUACACAUGCAAGUCGAACGGCAGCGGGGGCUUCGGCCUGCCGGCGAGUGGCGAACGGGUGAGUAAUGCAUCGGAACGUGCCCAUGUCGUGGGGGAUAACGUAGCGAAAGCUACGCUAAUACCGCAUACGCCCUGAGGGGGAAAGCGGGGGAUUCUUCGGAACCUCGCGCGAUUGGAGCGGCCGAUGUCGGAUUAGCUAGUAGGUGAGGUAAAGGCUCACCUAGGCGACGAUCCGUAGCGGGUCUGAGAGGAUGAUCCGCCACACUGGGACUGAGACACGGCCCAGACUCCUACGGGAGGCAGCAGUGGGGAAUUUUGGACAAUGGGCGCAAGCCUGAUCCAGCCAUGCCGCGUGAGUGAAGAAGGCCUCGG
rnacentral:rRNA from 1 species